UGGAACCGAAGGAGUAAGGUGUUGCUGAGCAGAGAAGCCCUGGCUGGAGGUGGACCCUGAACUCAGCGAGGUGCCCAGCCCAGUUGCACGGCCAGGUUGUAACACCGCAGUGCAGACCCAGCGGGCUCCCUGAACCUCUCCCACCCCUCUGUCCGGAGGCAGCGCCACUCCAGAAGGCCAGUGUCUUCCUGGCUCUGCUUUUCUCAUUUGGCUGCAUGUGAAGACGUACAGGUGACCAACAGACACGAAGAGAGGCUCAGCAUCCCUAACCAUCAGAGAGACGCAAGUCAAGACCGCGAGAUAUCAUCUCACACCUGCGAACAGCUGUUAUCAGAAAGACAGCAAACAGCAAGGUGAGCAAGUGGAGAGAAGGGAGCCCGCGCUGUUC